rnacentral:lncRNA from 1 species
GGUAGCGAAGGGCUGGAGGCAAACACCGAGCUCCCCCUGAGCCGCCUGGGAGCAGGGAGGGUUCUGCUACCCUGAGGGGCCCUCCCCGCGGGGCAGAGGAGGCUGUUGGGAAGGUGGGAUGACCUAGGAUUGACCUUGGACUUGACAUCACAGAAGCCAUUUCAACCUUCACAGGUGGGAGGAAGUCACAGCAUCUACUUCUGAAUCUGUGCUUGCCUUGAGGAAAAACGGCAUGGCACAGGAAUGUGGACGCUUUCAACCAGAGGAUUCUGUACGACGGUGUCGGCACACAAGGAGUGUUCCACUGACUGACCUCUUUUUGUUUUCAAAUGAAGAGGAGCCAAGAAUAGGACAGCUUGGGAAGCUCAUCCUCGUCUACGGCCAAACGUUGGUUUCUCAUUUCUAGAAGAUGAAAGAUGUGAUGACUCAGGAAAAACUUGCUGCUCGAGAUGUGAGUCUUCAGAUGUUCCUGCCGCCAUAUCUGACAGCUGCUGCCAAGAUUCCCUGGUGGGAUGGACUCUUAUACCUCAACAACCAGAAGCCCAAGUAAACUCUUCUAUAAAUUGAAUGACUCAUGCUUAAAAAAAAAAACAAAAAACAAACUAUCUUUA